rfam:Schistosoma curassoni strain Dakar, Senegal genome assembly, scaffold: SCTD_contig0000256
CUCUAGCUGACGAGUCCCAGAUAGGAUGAAACGUGCGUCCUGGAU